rnacentral:rRNA from 1 species
GACGAACGCUGGCGGCGUGCUUAACACAUGCAAGUCGAACGGGAUUUAGUAGACAGAAGCCUCGGCUAAAGAUUACUAAUGAGAGUGGCGAACGGGUGAGUAACGCCUGAGCAACCUGCCUAUGACAGGGGGAUAGCCUCGGGAAACCGGGAUUAAUACCGCAUAAAAUCGUAGAAACACAUGUUUUAACGGUCAAAGAUUUAUCGGUCAUAGAUGGGCUCGCGCCUGAUUAGCUAGUUGGUGAUAUAACAGCCCACCAAGGCGACGAUCAGUAGCCGGUCUGAGAGGAUGAACGGCCACAUUGGAACUGAGACACGGUCCAAACUCCUACGGGAGGCAGCAGUGGGGAAUAUUGCACAAUGGGGGAAACCCUGAUGCAGCGACGCCGCGUGAACGAAGAAGGUAUUCGUAUCGUAAAGUUCUGUCCUAUGGGAAGAUAAUGACAGUACCAGAGAAGAAAGCUCCGGCUAAAUACGUG